rnacentral:rRNA from 1 species
ACAGCAGCAGCCACGGGAAUACCGAGGGUGCAAGCGUUAUCCGGAUUUAUUGGGUUUAAAGGGUCCGUAGGCGGACUUAUAAGUCAGUGGUGAAAGCCUGUCGCUUAACGAUAGAACUGCCAUUGAUACUGUAAGUCUUGAGUAUAUUUGAGGUAGCUGGAAUAAGUAGUGUAGCGGUGAAAUGCAUAGAUAUUACUUAGAACACCAAUUGCGAAGGCAGGUUACCAAGAUAUAACUGACGCUGAGGGACGAAAGCGUGGGUAGCGAACAGGAUUAGAUACCCCCGUAGUCCCUGUCUCUUAUAC